GUCCCAUUUGGUUUAAAGAAAUACCAAAAAUUGCAGACUUCUCUCCAAUUUCCCUGAAUUUCUAUACUACACUUUUCAGGUAAUCAUACUAGUCCAUAGACUCCCCCAAAAUAUAGUACAAGAGCCCAAUAUGGGCUUCAAUUUCUGCAACAGUGCUCUGUUGUCCUGGUGCAUUUCCAUACUCUUUUAUGGCGUUCUGAAGCAUCUUGAGCGCCUGAUCAAAUUCCUUGAUUGACUCAUAGAUCACAGAUAUAUCGACGAGACCACUUGCAAUUUCUUCUGGAUGGCUUACAUGGACGAUCUUAGUAUGAAUUCGAACUGCAUUUUCAUAACCGAAAGAGUAACAUGAUGAUUCAGAUUCAAUAUGGAGCAGCAUCAACGAAAAUUAUGGGUCUUCUCAACGAAAAAACAGGACAAAUAUUUGUGGAGUUCACAUAGUGCUGAUCAAGUUCCAUGUUGUUGGCAAUUGCAAGUUAGGCCUUGGGGAAAAUCAGACAGCAUAGUGCAUUAGGGCGUAACGGCCCACAGUCACGUCUUCAGAGAAGUGGAAUGGGUACCCCUACACGCCGAAUUAUUUGGGGUUUGUUGAUACUUUUAACAGCAUGGAUCACUUCAAUAGCCCAAUGCUCCCAAAAUCAUGGGGAAAAUAUAUAAGUAAUCAAUUGUUCAUCCUUUCAAAAACUAAUUAUAUUUAAGUUGUUUUUCAACAAGAAAAUAAAUUUCUCUUUUAUAUUUA